GACGAACGCUGGCGGCGUGCCUAACACAUGCAAGUGGAGCGACGAACCAGGGCUUGCCCUGGAGCAAAGCCGCGAACGGGUGAGUAACACGUGGGUAACGUGCCCCGAUGACCGGGACAACCCGAGGAAACUCGAGCUAAUACCGGAUGUCUUCCACACACAUCAGUGUGUGGAGAAAAGGAAGCUUCGGCCUCCGCAUCGGGAGCGGCCCGCGGCCCAUUAGCUUGUUGGGAGGUAACGGCUCACCAAGGCUGCGAUGGGUAGCUGGUCUGAGAGGACGAUCAGCCACACUGGGACUGAGACACGG
rnacentral:rRNA from 1 species